rnacentral:rRNA from 1 species
GACGAACCGUGCGAACGUUGUUCGGAUUCACUGGGCUUAAAGGGCGCGUAGGCGGCUUGCCAAGUCAGGGGUGAAAUCUUUCGGCUCAACCGGAAAAGUGCUUCUGAUACUGGCGGGCUGGAGGAGGGUAGGGGCGGGCGGAACUUCCGGUGGAGCGGUGAAAUGCGUAGAUAUCGGAAGGAACGCCGGUGGCGAAAGCGGCCCGCUGGACCCUUUCUGACGCUGAUGCGCGAAAGCCAGGGGAGCAAACGGG